UCAAGCGAAGAAAGUACCGUGAAGAAUGCAUCACCAUCGCUGUUCCUGUUGGGUGAUUGCUUGCCAGCUAUCCAAGGAUGCAACAGCGUGGAAAGCAGGGCUACCGAUGGUGCGGCCGCGUGUUUUCUCCAUUGCCGAUUUUGGGGGAGUGAGCGACAGGAUCAUGCUUGACACCAAGGCAUUCCAGAAGGCGAGGCAAGCUGGGAGGUGCAACUAUCGGCUGACCGGAUCAAUCUCACGAGCCACAUGACUCGCCACAAUCCUUGCCUCCAAGGAUCCUUAAGAUUGGCCCAUGCUUGAUCCCUUGCCAUCAUAUGGGCCAGGAAGGCUGAUCUAUUUCAUCCGCAGAUGCCUAGAAGUAUCGUGGGAAGUGGGAAAAGGGUGUAAUUUCUGAGUCGCAAUGAGAGGCAAGGCAACCCAUAUGUAUGGAUUUCGGUAUACAAUCGGACCAGCCGGCACUAGAAAGUCCACCAUGCCGCUGUGAGAUACCUUUCUUAGGAAGGCUGCCACAUAAUUUUCCUUGAUGCUCAAAGGCUCUGCAAGAAUCUGGAAGCAACUCUAUUAUGGAGCCUUGUGCAAGAAUUCCCUGCCAUUGCCAGUCUUUCAACGAUUUUUGAAUGUGUGGCCUUUUUGAUGCAUUUGAAAGUAAGAGCUACGAUUGUAGUGGACAAUGGCAAUGUAAUUUCAAUGAAGAGUGGUGCUAUUGCUUUGUUAGCUGGCCUUAUGAAUGUUUGUAAUGUAGUCUUUUGUGUUUCACUCUCUAAUGAAUAGAAUAAAAUGAUCUACAAUCC